CGGGGCGUAGCGCAGCUCGGUAGCGCGCCUGCUUUGGGAGCAGGAUGUCGCAUGUUCAAAUCAUGUCGCCCCG
rnacentral:tRNA from 1 species